rnacentral:rRNA from 2 species
GCUGACGAGUGGCGGACGGGUGAGUAAUGUCUGGGAAACUGCCUGAUGGAGGGGGAUAACUACUGGAAACGGUAGCUAAUACCGCAUAACGUCGCAAGACCAAAGAGGGGGACCUUCGGGCCUCUUGCCAUCGGAUGUGCCCAGAUGGGAUUAGCUAGUAGGUGGGGUAACGGCUCACCUAGGCGACGAUCCCUAGCUGGUCUGAGAGGAUGACCAGCCACACUGGAACUGAGACACGGUCCAGACUCCUACGGGAGGCAGCAGUGGGGAAUAUUGCACAAUGGGCGCAAGCCUGAUGCAGCCAUGCCGCGUGUAUGAAGAAGGCCUUCGGGUUGUAAAGUACUUUCAGCGGGGAGGAAGGGAGUAAAGUUAAUACCUUUGCUCAUUGACGUUACCCGCAGAAGAAGCACCGGCUAACUCCGUGCCAGCAGCCGCGGUAAUACGGAGGGUGCAAGCGUUAAUCGGAAUUACUGGGCGUAAAGCGCACGCAGGCGGUUUGUUAAGUCAGAUGUGAAAUCCCCGGGCUCAACCUGGGAACUGCAUCUGAUACUGGCAAGCUUGAGUCUCGUAGAGGGGGGUAGAAUUCCAGG